GGAGGUAUAGCUCAGUUGGUAGAGUGCUUGCCUCCUCGCAUGCAAAAUGCAAGGCCCUGGGUUCAAUCCCCAGCACCACCA
rnacentral:tRNA from 1 species